CUCCUGCUCCAGCGACUAGGCUCCCUUCCUGACGGUUUAUGGUGUAUGGUUUGUGGCUGAAGAUGUACGCGCUCAGAUGCACACUCUGGCUGCCCGCUGUCAUGCCUCCCUCUGGAACCAGAAGCCAAAAUAAAGUCUUUCUUCCACGAGUCA